rnacentral:rRNA from 1 species
GAACGCUGGCGGCGUGCCUAAUACAUGCAAGUCGAACGCAUUGUGGUUGAAAUGAUAUGAAGAACUUGUUCAGAUUUGAUUUUCAACAUUGCAAUGAGUGGCGAACGGGUGAGUAACACGUGGGAAACCUACCUCUUAGCAGGGGAUAACAUUUGGAAACAAAUGCUAAUACCGUAUAAUAAUUAAAACCGCAUGGUUUUAGUUUAAAAGAUGGUCUUGCUAUCACUAAGAGAUGGUCCCGCGGUGUAUUAGUUAGUUGGUGAGGUAAUGGCUCACCAAGACAAUGAUACAUAGCCGAGUUGAGAGACUGACCGGCCACAAUGGGACUGAGACACGGCCCAUACUCCUACGGGAGGCAGCAGUAGGGAAUCUUCCACAAUGGACGAAAGUCUGAUGGAGCAACGCCGCGUGUGUGAUGAAGGGUUUCGGCUCGUAAAACACUGUUGUAAGAGAAGAAUGACAUUGAGAGUAACUGUUCAAUGUGUGACGGUAUCUUACCAGAAAGGAACGGCUAAAUACGUGCCAGCAGCCGCGGUAAUACGUAUGUUCCAAGCGUUAUCCGGAUUUAUUGGGCGUAAAGCGAGCGCAGACGGUUAUUUAAGUCUGAAGUGAAAGCCCUCGGCUCAACCGAGGAAUUGCUUUGGAAACUGGAUAACUUGAGUGCAGUAGAGGAAAGUGGAACUCCAUGUGUAGCGGUGAAAUGCGUAGAUAUAUGGAAGAACACCAGUGGCGAAAGCGGCUUUCUGGACUGUAACUGACCUUGAGGCUCGAAAGUGUGGGUAGCAAACAGGAUUAGAUACCCUGGUAGUCC